rnacentral:lncRNA from 1 species
AGUCUGAGAUUUCUUUUCUCCCUCUCUACCUCUUCUCUCAACAUCACAGCAUCCAUCUUUUCUAGGUAUUUGAUAGCUUGUGUCUAUAUUCUCUACUAUGGAAAAAUAGACUUCAAGAGGAUAUUCCACGUGCUGUUGAUAUUAUUUGAAAAUCAUAUUGGUAAGACUUCUGUCAGUAGGAUCUCAUUCUUUAAUUGCUAUUUUAUUUAUUUGACCUAUUACUUCCAAAUUGUCUUCUCUAUCAGCAGCCAAGUUGGUGCUGAUAAAUACAAAGGGAAAUGUUUUUCUUUCUCCUAGAUCUUUUUAUAAACCAAGGGGGCUCUUUAAAGUUACUUCUAUACUUUUCAGUCUGGUUAAUUAAUGAAUGAAAGAAGGAAACACCACAAGUAAUCUGGUUUUGCUUUGUGGCAUAGACCCAAGUGUUUUUCAGCCAGACCUAGUAAAAUGAGGUCUUGUUGAUAAAGGUUUGAAUUGGAACUACUAAAAAAUAAGAUCUAAUAUUUUAGUGAGUUGUUAGUAUGUGCAUAGCAUUGUACUGUAAUGAUUUUCAAGCAUUAUCAGAUAUAAUCCUCAGAGUAUCCCUGUGAGAUAGGUACUGUAAUUAUUUUACUUUUAUAGAUGAGGUAAACUAGUCUGGAGAUUAAGUAAUCUACCCAAAUUUACCCAUGUUGUAGGUGGAAAUCUAGGAGUCUGAGUGUAUCCAACAUCAAAAAAUGUUUAUUUAAUCAAAUCACCUCUUGGAAAUAAUGUUAUGUGUUUCUCCUAAGGAAUUGUUAUGCUUCCUUCACUUGCUUAGUUUUUUAUUUUAAACUAUAUUUGUUCUAUGGCAUAUGCAUAUAUCUACUUUCUGUGUAUAUCUAAACCAUACAUAAUUAGCUCAUAUAUAUUUGCAUUUUAAUUACGUUUCUUAUAUGGAGAAAUUUACUGAAAAAAUUGAAAUAAUAAACAUUAGGCACGAUGACAUUUCUAAAUACUUGAUUUGUAAAUCAUUUAGAAAAUACUCAAUAUCUAUUACAUGCCAAACGUGUCCUGAGUACCAGUUAUGCACUGGGGAAUAAGACAGAUAUUGAUAUUCAUACUCUCAUGGGGCUCACAGUCAUGGCACUCUUUCAAUAUUGAGUAUAUUAAGAGUUCUGCUUUGUGAGUCUUGUAUGAUUCUUAAAUGUAAAUACUUUACAGUUUAUGACUUACUAUUUGAUUUAUACCUCACUCUUAGAAAUAAUAUGAUGGUUUGCAAUAAAAGUAAUCAAUAAAAAACCCCUCAAAUAUCCAGUUAAUAGAAGAACACAAGCCAUAUAAUGGGUCUGGUAGGGGAACAAUUAAGCAGAAAACUCAGACUCAAGUCAAUUGCUAUAGUUUAUUAAAAAUUUAGGUCUCAGCCUCCUGCCAGAUAAGGAAUGUAUUUGUACAAGAAGAUUGCUGUUUCCCUAGGCUUUGGAGAUCAUUCAAUAUUGCAUUAAUUGAACCUUAAGUGUAAUACGCUCUGUUAUGUAUUGUGCACAGAGCAUAGACUUUGUAGGACAGACCCUUUAAUCCCCAAUUCCUUUACUAGCUAUGGAACUUUGUGCUAAUUUAACCUGUCUAUAUGGCUACUACAUAGAGUAGAGUAGAUGAAAUGAGAAUUGUGUAUAUUGCCCAGCAUAGCUCCUCAUGUGAAGUAGGUUUCCUCCAUUUGGUUAUUAAACAUGUAGAUGGC